UAAGUGAUUCGGUAUGAAUUGCUUUCUCGUUAAGUUUUUCAAAUCUCUUUACUACGUUGCCAUCUACUUGUAGGGAUUACCUGUUGGAGUUCACGGGAUUGGGCUUGAAAAGCGUGGAAUGUGUACGAUUUCUGUCUCUUCAACAUGUUGCUUUUCCAGUUGAUAUAAAUGUUGCUCGGACAGUUGUUCGCUUAGGUUGCCCCCCCGCCCUGAAACCUCUCCCUGGAAGCCUUCAGUUCCACCUUAUAGAAGAGUUCCCGAUAUUGGAUAACAUUCAGAAAUACCUCUGCCCCAUACUAUGCGUGCUUGACCAUAGAACACUAUGGCAACAGGACUACAGAAUCUGGUCCAAACGGUCACACUUGCAAACCCAUAGUUGAAGAGCCAAAAUCACCACUACAUGAACAAGAUAUUGAAGAUUUUUUGUGGAAUGAAUGUAUUGAAGAUGAAGAAAUCCCCACUAUCAAACUCAAUCAUGAAGAGUUCAAUCAAAUGGGAAAAAGACUCCAUACAGCAGUUAUACGUCACAAGCUUUAGUUUCUGUGGGUGCUCCUCCAUUGCCGGCACCUAAAAUGAAGUGUGUGAUCUCUUUGUGGACUGAACAUCAAGUGCACGAACUUCCAGAUAAUCAUGAGCUUCUGGUUUGGCUCGACAAAAAAGGAUGAUUCAGUACCCUUCCUACUCUCUAUAUGGCAAGCAGGUGAAACUCCAAAUUCAAGUCAGCCACCUGUGAAAUUGUGCAACUCACAAGGAUCACAACUCUGUGAUCAGAGAACAUGUUUUGCUUGUGAAGAUACCAUGCAGGAUAGCUAUGAAAGGAAGCUUUCCACUCAACGGCACAUAUUUUCAAGUUAAUGAGGUGAGUGGAUCCAAAGAAAAAAAAAAGGAAAGACAGAGUUCCAGUUGCAGGAA